GCCAUGUGUAGUAGCAUAUACCUAGAAUCCCUUCUACUAGGGAAGCCGAGGCUGGGAGAUUGCUUGAGUUCAGGAGUUUUGAGCUGUAGUAGGGCUAAGCUGAUUAGGUGUCUGCACUAAGACCAGCACCAAUAUGGUGAGCCCCCAGGAGUCUGGAGUCACCAGGAUGCCUACAGAGAGGCAGACCUACCCAGGUCAGAAAGGGAGCAGUUCAAAGCUCUUGUGUUGGAUUUGUCCGACUGGCCACUGCCUUUCUAGUCUAAAUAACACGAUGAGACCUAGUUUCA
rnacentral:SRP_RNA from 1 species